rnacentral:lncRNA from 10 species
GUGGGAGUGCGUUAGAAGAGGGAGACCGCGGGCUGGGGGUGGGGGUGGCGUCUGGAGUGCGCCAGUUGGAGUUCUCUAAGGCGGGUGCCCUUGAACUUGUGCCUUCAGAGCACAUUAGCGUUGGUUUCUCUACCCCUGCCCGGGUUCGGGCGUGCGUUCUGUGAGUGGCUCUCCGGGACAUUCAAAGCUCGACGCCAGGGUCCUAGCAGAAGCCAGGGUCCGAAAGCUAAGCGAGAGCUCUGGGACGUCCCUUCACCUGUCAGAGGGUGGCCUUGGGGCUUCCGCCUAAGGGGAGUCCCUGGUCCGGUUUCGCCAGCUUUUGGGCCAUUUGGGGAGUUUGGCGAAGAGGUCCCCACAGCUCGCCCCGGGGACGUACGUGGCGCGGCACUCACCUUCAUCGUCGGCGUCUCCUCGGAAGUGAGCGUUCAGAGAAGGAGCGCAGGCAGAAGUCACCGCGGGCGGCGGAGACGCGCGUCCUGCACCGCUGCUCCGGGCGGUGGAGUCACUCGCCGCUGGAAGGAAGACUGUACACAGAGAAUAAAUAACUUGGCCAAGCCAUUCAGCUAGGAAGUUGUAGAUCCUAAAUUAAGAGUUCAAGGUCUUAAUGGCUACUCUAUGCGGCCUCUCAUAGUCUUUUCAAGGGUUUUGGAGAAGAAUAAAAGAUCAGUCAUCCACAGAUGUUUGAGUGGUUACAAUGUGCCAGCCUCCCUUCUAGGUACUGGAGAUAAAGUGGGACAAGAGAGAUGAGUCAAUGGUGUUACUGGACCCUGUGAACUGAUGCUGUGAAGAGAGGCCAUUUAACACGGACUACGGGGAAUGGUGCCACAGGGGGCUCAGUGCUGCCCUUCACUCUCAGCAUUUUGCUCACUCAGCAUUGAUGACAGGAUGUCCCAAAAGUAACAAAAGAUGGGAGCCAGUCCUCUCAUAGCUGUUUCUUCAAUCAUCCCAUCAACAGCUCUUCAUUUAUUGAACUACCUUCCUUUUCCAAAGAGGUAAUGCUGAGAUCAGUCAGAAAGGCUUUCUGAGAAA